rnacentral:sRNA from 1 species
AAUGCUUCGUAGUUUCUUCCUCUUGACAGCAACGGUGACAAGUUGUACGGGGGCGAAUGUGCCGAUAUGUCAACGCCGCUCCUGUUGCUAAGACCCCAGAGCAUAAUCUCC